GGGCGAUUAGCUCAGUUGGUAGAGCAUCUCGUUUACACCGAGGGGGUCGGCGGUUCGAGCCCGUCAUCGCCCACCA
rnacentral:tRNA from 6 species